rnacentral:RNase_P_RNA from 1 species
GCAGUUAGUCAGACGACUGCACUACGUGUGAGGAAAGUCCGAGCAUCACAGGGCAGAGUGGCAGAGAAAUCCUGCCGAAGGCAACUUUAGGGAAAGUGCAACAGAAAAUAACCGCGUUUAUACGCAAGGGUGAAAAGGUGCGGUAAGAGCGCACCGGCAGUUCGGCGACGAAAUUGGCCGUGUAAACCCCACUCGAUGCAAGAGAAAAGGGACUAUGGAUUGCCCGUCCGUCCCCUCAAUCGCUAGAACCCAUAGGCGACUAUGGGUCAAGACAGAUGGUCGUCUAAUACAGAACUCGGCUUACAGACUAACUCAAAAA